AUUGAACGCUGGCGGCAGGCCUAACACAUGCAAGUCGAGCGGAUGAAGGGAGCUUGCUCCUGGAUUCAGCGGCGGACGGGUGAGUAAUGCCUAGGAAUCUGCCUGGUAGUGGGGGAUAACGUCCGGAAACGGGCGCUAAUACCGCAUACGUCCUGAGGGAGAAAGUGGGGGAUCUUCGGACCUCACGCUAUCAGAUGAGCCUAGGUCGGAUUAGCUAGUUGGUGGGGUAAAGGCCUACCAAGGCGACGAUCCGUAACUGGUCUGAGAGGAUGAUCAGUCACGCUGGAACUGAGACACGGUCCAGACUCCUACGGGAGGCAGCAGUGGGGAAUAUUAGACAAUGGGCGAAAGCCUGAUCCAGCCAUGCCGCGUGUGUGAAGAAGGUCUUCGGAUUGUAAAGCACUUUAAGUUGGGAGGAAGGGCAGUAGGUUAAUACCUUGCUGUUUUGACGUUACCAACAGAAUAAGCACCGGCUAACUUCGUG
rnacentral:rRNA from 1 species